GACGAACGCUGGCGGCGUGCUUAACACAUGCAAGUCGAGCGGUAAGGCCCUUUCGGGGGUACACGAGCGGCGAACGGGUGAGUAACACGUGGGUGACCUGCCCUCAGCUCUGGGAUAAGCCUGGGAAACCGGGCCUAAUACUGGAUAUGACUCCAUGACGCAUGUUGUGGGGUGGAAAGCCUUGUGCGGCUGAGGAUGGGCCCGCGGCCUAUCAGCUUGUUGGUGGGGUGANGGCCUACCAAGGCGACGACGGGUAGCCGGCCUGAGAGGGCGACCGGCCACACUGGGACUGAGACACGGCCCAGACUCCUACGGGAGGCAGCAGUGGGGAAUCUUGCGCAAUGGGCGAAAGCCUGACGCAGCGACGCCGCGUGAGGGAUGACGGCCUCGG
rnacentral:rRNA from 1 species